rnacentral:tRNA from 1 species
GCCUGGGUGGCUCAGUCGGUUAAGCGUCCGACUUCGGCUCAGGUCAUGAUCUCGCGGUCCGUGGGUUCGAGCCCCGUGUCAGGCU